rnacentral:rRNA from 1 species
GACGAACGCUGGCGGCGUGCUUAACACAUGCAAGUGGAGCGACGAACCGGGGCUUGCCCCGGGGCAAAGCCGCGAACGGGUGAGUAACACGUGGGUAACCCACCUCGAUGACCGGGACAACCCGAGGAAACUCGGACUAAUACCGGAUGUGCUCUUCUCUCGCCAGGGAGUUGAGGAAAGGUAGCUUCGGCCUCCGCAUCGAGACGGGCCCGCGGCCCAUUAGCUUGUUGGUGGGGUAACGGCCUACCAAGGCUGCGAUGGGUAGCUGGUCUGAGAGGACGAUCAGCCACACUGGGACUGAGACACGGCCCAGACUCCUACGGAGGCAGCAGUGGGGAAUCUUGCACAAUGCGCGAAAGCGUGAUGCAGCAACGCCGCGUGGGGGAAGAAGGCCUUCGGGUUGUAAACCCCUUUCAGUUGGGACGAAGCUUCGCCGGUUAAUAGCCGGCUGGAGUGACGGUACCUUCAGAAGAAGCCCCGGCUAACUACGUGCCAGCCGCCGCCGUAAUAC